GGGCCCAGGCCGUGUGCGCUUCGGCCGCCGAGCCUUGCUGCCUGUGCUCCGGUGGGCGUUGGGGCUUCCCUGGGUAGGGAGCAGAGGAGUGGCUUAAUGGUACCCUGUAAACAAGACCAAGGACGAAGCGUCCGAUCAGAAAGCCUAGAAGUGUUCCUGCCUUAUGUUUCUUAGUCCUUAUUCAUGAAGUAAUUAAGUGUUGAAUAAAUGUACAAAAAGCCUUAUGUUCCAGC
rnacentral:lncRNA from 1 species